UCACCCUUCACAGCCGCUCUGGGCAGCGAGUCACACUACCGGCUUUCCAAUGUGGAAGAUGGGAUCUAUUUUAUUGCUUGCACUAUGUGUGUUGGCUUCAAUGCUGCACACAAUAAAUUGUGCUGAAGGUGAACAUCACGUUCUUUGUAACUAUGGAGUGCUUUUUAUGCACACGCAGGAGUUACAGGAUUACCAAGCUGCCGAGAACUUUUGUGAAGAUAGAGGCGCCAGUAUACCUUCCCUCAACGGCGAGGGGAUUUGCAUGAAACACCUUUCCACCCAGUUAGAUGCAACCUAUCACAGAUCCCUAUAUUUCUGGGCUACUGAACCAGGUUAUAUUGGAUUUGGUCCCGAAACGUUUGGCUAUAAUGGCAUACACAAGAAUACUCAGCAGGACAAAUUUAAUGUAGCCUGCUUU